CCUACGGGAGGCAGCAGUGGGGAAUAUUGGGCAAUGGGCGAAAGCCUGAACCAGCAACGCCGCGUGAAGGAAGAAGGCUCUAGGGUUGUUAAAUUCUUUUUAUAGGGACGAAGCAAGUAACGGUACCUGAGGAAUAAGCCACGGCUAACUACGUGCCAGCAGCCGCGGUAAUACGUCGGUGGCAAGAGUUAUCCGGAUUUAAUGGGUGUAAAGGGCGCGUAGGCGGGAAGGCAAGUCAGAUGUGAAAACCAUGGGCUCAACCUGAGGCCUGCAGUUGAUACUGUUUGUCUUGAGUACAGGAGAGGCAGGCGGAAUUCGUGGUGUAGCGGUGAAAUGCUUAGAUAUUAGGAAGAACACCAGUGGCGAAGGCAGCCUGCUGGACAGCAACUGACGCUGAGGCUCGAAAGUGUGGGGAGCAAACAGGAUUAGAUACCCGGGUAGUC
rnacentral:rRNA from 1 species